ACCGCCCGUCACACCAUGGGAGUGGGUUUCUACCAGAAGCAGCUAGCCUAACCGCAAGGGGGGGGCCGGGUUUGCCACGGUGAGAUUCAUGACNGGGGUG
rnacentral:rRNA from 1 species